AGAUUGAACGCUAGCGGGAUGCUUUACACAUGCAAGUCGAACGGCAGCGCGGACUUCGGUCUGGCGGCGAGUGGCGAACGGGUGAGUAAUAUAUCGGAACGUGCCCAGUAGCGGGGGAUAACUACGCGAAAGCGUGGCUAAUACCGCAUACGCCCUACGGGGGAAAGGGGGGAUCGGCAAGACCUCUCACUAUUGGAGCGGCCGAUAUCAGAUUAGCUAGUUGGUGAGGUAAAGGCUCACCAAGGCGACGAUCUGUAGCUGGUUUGAGAGGACGACCAGCCACACUGGGACUGAGACACGGCCCAGACU
rnacentral:rRNA from 1 species